rnacentral:misc_RNA from 1 species
AAGUCGUAACAAGGUUUCCGUAGGUGAACCUGCGGAAGGAUCAUUAACACGUAUCCAACGUUAAACAACCCUGUGAACUUUCAGACGCUCUUGUAGCCCAGGAGGAACAGCAAUCCCGGUAAAUCAAUGGCGGAAAAGUUUUGAUUCGGGACCUCUGUCCAAAAGGUAUCAAGUUACAAUCGAGCUAGGAGCAGUGGCAUGGUUUCCCUAAGCAGUGCAGAAGGAUCCACUGAGUAAGGAUAACGCAUCACGGUUGCACAGGGCUUUACGCCCCUUCAUUCACCCCUUGCCUAAUCAAGCCCCGCGGAAACGCCGGGCAAAAAAAUCUGAACAACUGUUAACAAUGGAUAUCUUGGUUCUC